GUUUCACAGGUCACAAAGAAAGUGGAAUAUAUACAGAAUGAUAUUCCAAGACAGCUCGUAUACGGAACAAUGGUAUAUGUCCGUCAAACAAUUGUAUCUGGCGCAUCUUCCUUCUUAUCUAGAGCAGUUUGCAUUGCUAUAAGAUGGAAUUCGUGGGCAUUAGCCAAACAGAGCUGCUUCCAUAACAUCAGUUUCUGAAACAUGGGUGUUCUGUGAACAUCCAUAGGCGAUGUUUGUAUCGAUGGUUUGAUUGAACAAGAGAGGCUCCUGGCUCACCAAUCCCAUCUACUGCCUUAGCCACUUUAGAUUCAGCUGUUGAAUAUCCACAAUGUCUACCAAUAUCUUCCCAGAAUUAGGCUCAUAAAACCUCUGCAAGCAAUAGAUGUAUUAUUGUCUAUUUCCCACUCCCACUUUCUCUAACCAAAGCCACUGUCUAAUUAAUAAUCAACAACAUCCAUCAUUAUUAUUUA